rnacentral:rRNA from 1 species
GCCAGUGCGCUGUCUCCCGUGCGCUCGGCGAUUAGACUUGUGUCGGGUGUUAGUAAAGUGGCGGACGGGUGAGUGACGCGUAGAUAACCUGCCCUUGAGAGAGGAAUAACUACUGGAAACGGUAGCUAAUGCCACAUGAUAUCAACCAGCCGCAUGGCCGGUUGAUCAAAGCCUUCGGGCACUCAAGGAUGGAUCUGCGUCGGAUUAGCUUGUUGGUGAGGUAAUAGCUCACCAAGGCAAUAAUCCGUAGCUGGUCUGAGAGGAUGAUCAGCCACACUGGCACUGAGACACGGGCCAGACUCCUACGGGAGGCAGCAGUGGGGAAUCUUAGGCAAUGGGGGAAACCCUGACCUAGCCAUGCCGCGUGGAGGAAGACACCCCUAUGGGGCGUAAACUCCUUUUCUAUUGGAAGAAAACCCUGUUUUGCAGGGCAUGACGGUACAAUAGGAAUAAGCACCGGCUAACUCCGUGCCAGCAGCCGCGGUAAUACGGAGGGUGCAAGCGUUGUCCGGAAUCACUGGGUGUAAAGGGUGUGCAGGCGGGACAGCAAGUCAGAGGUGAAAGCCCACGGCUCAACCGUGGAAGUGCCUUUGAAACUGCUGUUCUUGAGUCUCGGAGAAGUUGCUGGAAUUCGUGGUGUAGCGGUGAAAUGCGUAGAUAUCACGAGGAACACCAGAAGCGUAAGCGAGCAACUAGACGAGUACUGACGCUGAGGCACGAAAGCGUGGGAGCAAACAGGAUUAGAUACCCUGGUAGUCCACGCCGUAAACGAUGAAUGCUCGCCGUUGCCCCGGUAAAGGGGCGGUGGCUAAGCUAACGCGUUAAGCAUUCCACCUGGGGACUACGAUCGCAAGAUUGAAACUCAAAGGAAUUGACGGGGGCCUGCACAAGCGGUGGAGCAUGUGGCUUAAUUCGAUGCAACGCGAAGAAUCUUACCUAGGCUCGAACGCUACCGGACCGCUCCCGAGAAGAGCUCCCUCGGGACUGUAGUGAGUGCUGCAUGACUGUCGUCAGCUCGUGUCGUGAGAUGUUGGUAAGUCCCGCAACGAGCGCAACCCCUAUCGUUAGUUACCAGCG